rnacentral:rRNA from 1 species
GCAAGUCGAGCGGACCUUUCGGGGUCAGCGGCGGACGGGUGAGUAACACGUGGGCAAUCUGACCGAUACUCUGGGAUAACGCUUGGAAACGAGUGCUAAUACCGGAUGGUCUUCUUGGCCGCAUGGCCGAAAAGGAAAAGACGCGUUCGCGGCGGUGUCGGAUGAGCCCGCGGCGCAUUAGCUAGUUGGUGUGGUAACGGCCCACCAAGGCGACGAUGCGUAGCCGGCCUGAGAGGGUGACC